rnacentral:lncRNA from 1 species
UCGAUGGGGGCGUUUUGCACAGACACCUUCCCCCUGGCGCUCGGCGCCGCGGCCCCUCCUGCCUCGGAGACUCUCUUCCUUCCUUCCCCUUUUUCCUUACGCAAUAUACAGAAAUGCGCGAGGCGGUGGUUGGUUCUCAUUUCUUCUUGGUGGUUGUGUGCACGCGGUGCGAUUGUGAGAGCGCGUGUGUGAGCCGUGGGCAAGGCGGCUGCCCCAGUGUGAUGUUUUUUGGCGAUUGGUUGCGUGUCCGAGUGUGCUGGUGCCUGCACCGUUUGGGUGUGUAGCUUUGGACCCCGCGAGGCCCUGCUGCGUUUUAGUCGAUGUGUGUCAUCCUGCUUGUCUCUUUUUUCAACAGGAGCCGGGUUCCGCGCUGGGCUCUGACCGUGCGUGGACGGUGGCGUUGUUCUGGCGGCGCGUGUGAGCCUGGCCGUGCCGAGCUGUGUGUCCGUGGGCGACUGCGCUGGCCACUUUCGUUGUGUGCCGGACAGCGAGGGUCUGCCGACCAUGUCUGCGUGUGGAGCGGGGCUGCGUUGUGCUCGUGCGCGGCCCUCCUGUGUGGUCCCGUCCACCCCGAGUUGUGUGCCAGUGUGCUUGUGUCCUUUAGAGAUCGUCCAGGACCACACCGCCGCCUGACUAACUGCUGGCCUCUCUGCGAGAGGGGCUCGGAGAGCAGAGACCCCAGUUUAAUCUCACCCCUCCCUGUCGGAAGAGUGGAGGUCCUAUUCCAAGGGGCCAGUCUCUCUAACUAUGCCCGAGAAUGACCGAGCGGCCGCCCAGCGAGGCGGCCCGCA